AAAGAAUUGACAAAUCACAUGAGAAGCUAGUCAUGAGGACUACCUGGAAGGAAAUUCAGGGAGGACAAAACACUUCAUUCUUACAGAAAAUAUCUACAGCUUCCAGAAGAAUUUAAUCUAUUUUCCAGCAUCCACCAGAAUAACAGUCCUUCUCAAAACACCAGCACAGAUGCAACAUCAGAUGCGAUGUUCUGACAGCGCAGGAAACAACCUUUGCAGUCCAGCAGGAAAAAGGAGUAACAUCUGCAAUGAAAAUGGCAUCCACGAUGAAAUCACAGCCCUGUAUACCAACCUUUGUAUAGAAAAAGAGGAACAACUGUUCACCACCUCAGGAUACAUUUUACAAAAUGUAUGAUGAAGACUAUGAGGAGAAAGCAACUGCUUUCUGUACUUCUGACAUGAUACAAAAGCUGUCAACACAGGAAUUCCUCACUGGC